rnacentral:rRNA from 1 species
UACGAAGGGGGCUAGCGUUGCUCGGAAUCACUGGGCGUAAAGCGCACGUAGGCGGGUUGUUAAGUCAGGGGUGAAAUCCUGGAGCUCAACUCCAGAACUGCCUUUGAUACUGGCGAUCUCGAGUCCGGGAGAGGUGAGUGGAACUGCGAGUGUAGAGGUGAAAUUCGUAGAUAUUCGCAAGAACACCAGUGGCGAAGGCGGCUCACGGGCCCGGUACUGACGCUGAGGUGCGAAAGCGUGGGGAGCAAACAGG